AGUGAACGCUGGCGGUAGGCCUAACACAUGCAAGUCGAACGGCAGCACAGUAAGAGCUUGCUCUUACGGGUGGCGAGUGGCGGACGGGUGAGGAAUACAUCGGAAUCUACUUUUUCGUGGGGGAUAACGUAGGGAAACUUACGCUAAUACCGCAUACGACCUACGGGUGAAAGCAGGGGAUCUUCGGACCUUGCGCGAUUGAAUGAGCCGAUGUCGGAUUAGCUAGUUGGCGGGGUAAAGGCGCACCAAGGCGACGAUCCGUAGCUGGUCUGAGAGGAUGAUCGGCCACACUGGAACUGAGACACGGUCCAGACUCCUACGGGAGGCAGCAGUGGGGAAUAUUGGACAAUGGGCGCAAGCCUGAUCCAGCCAUACCGCGUGGGUGAAGAAGGCCUUCGGGUUGUAAAGCCCUUUUGUUGGGAAAGAAAAGCAGCAGGUUAAUACCCCGCUGUUCUGACGGUACCCAAAGAAUAAGCACCGGCUAACUUCGUG
rnacentral:rRNA from 1 species